UUCUCUUCAAAAUGUUUAUUUAUUGUCCUAAUGUGUCUGCUAUUUAUCCUGUUGUUCCUCCGGGCUGGGAAAACCAGGCAUUCUUCUGUUGGUUCAUGUGCUUCGUCCUACAUCCAAAGGCCACAAGAAGAAUCCAAAACAGCUCAUGUCAAACUGUGGACCGUGUUUUCAGAUAUGUGCAGAUGCAAGCCAGUGUUGAAGCCUUCCUCAUUGCCGUGCAACCAGGACAGUCCUUUCUCCUGCAUGUUGGUGAAAACAAGAGCAGCACCAAAGACACUUCAAGAUCAUCCAAGACUUGGUUUAUUACAGUCCCCGUGGCAAGCAGUUUUCUGCAUGGUCAGCAUUGAAGGCCAUAUUGUCUUUGAGGGGGUCCAGCUGACAUUCCAGACAGGACAGCGUUGUCCAUCUUCUACAUCUUCAACCUCCAAUGAGGCAGCCAAGACUUUGGAGUUCAUUCAACUUCGCUUCAUUGAGAUUAACCCAGAAAGGAGCACAAAAGCCGGUCAUGGGAAGAUGGUAUCCAAAAAGACUGGAAAGACAAUUCAAAAGAAAAAGUGACAGUCAAUGUUCAGGUUUCCACCCUCAUCAAAAACUUGAUGGACUUUGAGUGGCAUCUCAUUCAGUAAGUGCCGCUUGGACUCUUGAAAACCAUUAAUAGUUCACAUUUUAAAACCCUGUUAAUACUAGAAUUCCACAUUAUUUCAGCCAUGUUGAAUUUUAGAUUUUGGAAGACCUUUUUCAUUGAUUGCGCUUCACAUAAAUUAGGGUUAGGGAUGUGAUACAUCCUCUUCAGGAUUAAAUACGGUACAGCUACUGUGCAUUUACAGUAAACUACAUCUUCUUCUGUGUUAUGUGAAGUUCUGAUUAUGCAGAUUAUGCAUUUUAGAACCGCACCAAUUGUAGCACUUCCAAGAAGCUUACACUGGGUUAGGUAUUAAUGUUUUAUGGUAAAACUAAGACUGUACUUUAAAAAGUAGCAUUACAGUUUUCUUAGCAAUAGCUUACUCAUAAAGUGAAUGUAGUAGUAAAACUAAAUUCACAGUAAAAAUACUGGAACGCCAGUAUUUGAAGGUAUAUUUACUUUCACCACUGUAUUUUACGGUGGCCAACAGGUACAAACACUCAGCAAAGACGAGAAAAACACAUGCAACAAAAAAGAGAUGCAAACAAAAAAUGCUGAAAACAGAAGUGAUCCAGAACACUUGGGGGAGUCGAACAAAGAACAGCUGUGUCCGAAGUCAGGUUUUGCAUCUUUGGGUCCUCGACGACCGGAAGAAAAGCUGUAACUUACUUUUUUUUUUUUUUUUUUUUUAGCCUCUACCGUGGCGUUAUGUUGCUUAGUAACCGUGACAACGCGUAUCACACAGCGACAAAGGGGAAAAAAACGGGCUCGGAGUAUGGUUUUUUUCUUUCCUGAUUUCUCCAUUACUCUUCAUUUUUGUAACACGUAUAACACAUUUACACAAGGAAUGUAAGCAAAGAAUCCUUUUUCAAAUACUCUCCAAAUCUCAGGUAAGACAAUAUAGUUUAAUAAAACUAUUAUGUUUUUAGGCUUAACUUUAAUCAGUCAAACCGAUUUGCUCAGCAAUAAAUGAAAUAUUUUAGUGAACCUAAAUAUACCAACUAGAUGUUACCUGACUUAAUAUMUGUGUUUAACUGUCAUUUGGGAAAGCCUAAAUGAGUCAGGUGUUCUCCCUUGGUAUGCUAAACCUGGACCAGCUGGCAGCAGGCGAGGGGAGCUGGGUGUUAAUACAGUGGGAGCAGACGUCACCGAAAAUGUCGGACAGAUAUUGCAAUUAGGUGAUGCACUGAUGAACCGAGCAGAAAUGUGAGAUUUAUAUAUCUACAUUCUCGCCUACAAACAUCGUUUAAAUCAUGCUGUGUCACGGCUGCUAAGCAACAUAACGCCGAGGUGGAGGCUAGGCAGCUAGCUGAAGGCUACAGCUUCUGUGCAAUGCUCUCUGCCUUCGCAGGACCCCUCUUCCGUAGACAGGGUCGUUUUUCAAGCCCAUGAAAGAAUGAGAGGACGGCAGGGGGCGCUGGCGGACAUUUUUACAAAAGUGGGGCGGUGGGAUUCCUUUGUGGGGCGUUUGGUCGAAGGUAAACUUUACACCUUAAAUGCACAACAAUGCCACUUUAGACUUUGAGCAAUUUGG